ACUCAAAGGAAUAGACGGGGGCCCGCACAAGCGGUGGAGCAUGUGGUUCAAUUCGACGCAACGCGAAGAACCUUACCUGGGCUCGAACGGCUCACGAAAAUCUGUGGAAACAUGGAUUUCCCGCAAGGGACGGGAGUCGAGGUGCUGCAUGGCUGUCGUCAGCUCGUGUCGUGAGAUGUUGGGUUAAGUCCCGCAACGAGCGCAACCCUCGUCCUGUGUUGCUACUCCCGCAAGGGAGGCACUCUCAGGAGACUGCCGGCGAUAAGCUGGAGGAAGGUGGGGAUGACGUCAAGUCAUCAUGGCCUUUAUGUCCAGGGCUACACACGUGCUACAAUGGACGGUACAGUGCGCCGCAAACCCGUGAGGGGGAGCAAAUCGCAAAAAACCGUUCUCAGUUCGGAUCGCAGGCUGCAACUCGCCUGCGUGAAGCUGGAAUCGCUAGUAAUGCCAUAUCAGAACGAUGGCGUGAAUACGUUCCCGGGCCUUGCACACACCGCCCGU
rnacentral:rRNA from 1 species